UAGCAGCACGUAAAUAUUGGUGUAGUAAUAAACCCCAAUAUUAUUGUGCUGCUUAA
rnacentral:pre_miRNA from 1 species